ensembl:snRNA U4 U4 spliceosomal RNA
AGCUUUGCGCAGUGGCAGUAUCAUAGCUAAUGAGGUUUAUCCAGAGUGCAAUUAUUGCUAAUUGAACACUUUUCCCAAUACCCCACCAUGACGACUUGAAAUGCAGUCAAUGUUGACAAUUUUUGGCAGUCUCUACAGGGA